UUGCAUCUAUUUGACAGACGCUUCUGCUUCUAAGGUCUCCACUACAGAUGCAAGAAGUAAGUGUCCUUCUGCAUCUGUCUGUUUGAUUGUAGCAGCCAAGACUGAGUAGGAAAAUAUGG
rnacentral:snoRNA from 1 species